rnacentral:lncRNA from 1 species
GAAAAGUGCCUACCCCUGGCCUGGGAUGCUUCCUCCUGGGAUGCUCCCACUUGGAACCCAACUAUUGUGCUGCAGAAGUUUAACUUAACUGUGUAAGGAGGCCAAGAGGAGGCCCUGGCUGCCAGCCAGCAUCAACUUCCAGUGACGUGAGUGUGCCAUUCUGGAACUGGAUCCUGCAGCCUCGGUGGAGCAGCCUCAGCUGAUGCCAUGUGGAACAGAGAUGAACUGCCGCUGCCGAGCUCUGCCCACGUUGCAGAAUCAUGAGCAAAUAUGUUGUGGAUUGGCUGUAACUCUGCUCUGGGAUCCAGGCUGAAGGAGCAGGCUCUAUCUGGAACAUUACUAGUCUCCAGGCAGAAGAAAAAGAGACAAUGGAAUGGAUGAUUGAAUGGAUGAAUGAACUCCACAGGAAGAUGAGGAAAGCCUUUAUGGAUGGAGUGAGCUUGCAGCAGAGUCUCAAAGGAAGAAGAAAUAAAACAAACUUCUACAUGGCAAAAUAAACCUCUACAUGGCAAAAUAAACCUCUACAUGGCAAAAUAAACCUCUACAUGGAUAGAGAUCUGUCUCAGACACAUUUUGGUUUCCAUGACUUCUGAAUGGCAGCAUGAGGAGCUCCAUGAACCCUCUCCCCAGUGAAAUGACCAUAAUCUCUGGAAAUUGCUUAAGAUCAAAGCCACAACUAUUUAAAGCCUUUGGAAAUUGUUUUAUGGGGAUGCGGCAAAUUAAUAAACUUUUAUUCAAGAAAAUGUACUAAGUCUCAGUAAGAACAGUGAGAGUCAAUAACAUUUGUACCACAAAAGACUUCCUCCCUCCUUCUUCUAGCUCAGCAUGAUGGAAAAGUUACUCUAAGUAGGUGAAGCCGAGAACACGGGCUACCUCUUUCCCCAGCUCUCAGUUGAGGGCUACUAUAUC